rfam:Triticum urartu cultivar G1812 contig1084125, whole genome shotgun sequence.
AUUAUACUCCCUCCGUCCGAAAAUGCUUGUCCUAGAAAUAAUUGUAUCUAGACUUAUUUUAGUUAUAGAUACAACCAUUUUAUCCAUUUAUUGGACAAGUAUUUCCGAACGGAGGGAGUAUAUU